UACGUAGGGGGCGAGCGUUAUCCGGAUUCACUGGGUGUAAAGGGAGCGUAGACGGCCAUGCAAGCCAGGGGUGAAAGCCCGGGGCCCAACCCCGGGACUGCCCUUGGAACUGCAUGGCUGGAGUGCGGGAGGGGCAGGCGGAAUUCCUGGUGUAGCGGUGAAAUGCGUAGAUAUCAGGAGGAACACCGGCGGCGAAGGCGGCCUACUGGACGGUGACUGACGCUGAGGCUCGAAAGCGUGGGGAGCAAACAGG
rnacentral:rRNA from 1 species